GACGUUGAAAAGUCUUGGGAUGACCUGUGGAUAGGGGUGAAAGGCCAAUCAAACUGAGAGAUAGCUCGUUCUCCCCGAAAUGUUUUUAGGAACAGCCUUGGCUAAAGAAGUAUGAUAGAGGUAGAGCUACUGAUUGGGCUAGGGGGCUUCAUCGCCUACCAAACCCUGACAAACUCCGAAUGCUAUCAUAUAUCGCCAGGAGUGAGGCUGUGGGCGCUAAGGUCCAUGGCCGAGAGGGAAAUAACCCAGACUAGCAACUAAGGUCCCCAAUACAUAGUUAAGUUGAUCAAACGAGGUGGGAUUUCUAUAACAGCCAGGAUGUUGGCUUGGAAGCAGCCAUUCAUUUAAAGAGUGCGUAACAGCUCACUGGUCGAGAGAUCCUGCACGGAAAAUAAUCGGGCAUCAAACUAUGAACCGAAGUUCUAGAUUCAAUAUUUAUUUAUUGAGUGGUAGGGGAGCAUUGAAAUCUGCAUCGAAGGUGUGGCGCGAGCCAUGCUGGAGCGAUUUCAAAAGAAAAUGUAGGUAUAAGUAACGAUAAAAGUAGUGAAAAACUACUUCGCCGAAAGUCUAAGGUUUCCUGAUCAACGUUAAUCGGAUCAGGGUUAGUCUGGUCCUUAGGAAAACCCGAAAGGGGCAUCUGAUGGAAAGCUAGUUAAUAUUCUAGCACCUACUAUGCAUUAAAAGUGACGCAGGGACGUGGUUGUUACGAACAGACGGAUGUUCGUUGAGUGGAACCUUCGGGGGAAGCGAAACAAUAAAAUCCCUGCCAAGAAAAGCGAGCAUAGCAGCCAGUACCGGAAUCCGACACAGGUAGACGGGAUGAGUAUUCUAAGGCGCUCGGGUGAGCCGCGGAGAAGGAACUAGGCAAAUUAACGCUGUAACUUCGGGAUAAAGCGUACCGCAGUGAUGCGGUCACAGUAAAUAGGUACAACCAACUGUUUAACAAAAACACAGGGCCCUGCAAAAACGUAAGUUGACGUAUAGAGCCUGAAACCUGCCCGGUGCUGGAAGGUUAAGGAAGGGUGUUCGUCGCAAGACAAAGCUCCUGACUGAAGCCCCAGUAAACGGCGGCCGUAACUAUAACGGUCCUAAGGUAGCGAAAUUCCUUGUCGGGUAAGUUCCGACCUGCACGAAUGGUCUAAUGAGUUGUACACUGUCUCCUCCGCGAGCCCGGUGAAAUUGUAGUAUCGGUGAAGAUGCCGGUUACCCGCCACGGGACGGAAAGACCCCGUGAACCUUCACUACAACUUUGCAUUGAUUUUGAACAACCGAUGUGUAGGAUAGUUGGGAGACUUUGAAGUGGCAUCGCCAGGUGUCAUGGAGUCAUCGUUGAAAUACCAACCUUCGUUUGUUUAGAACCUAAUCCCUAACGGGAGACAGUGCAUGGUGGGUAGUUUGACUGGGGUGGUCGCCUCCUAAAAAGUAACGGAGGCUCGCAAAGGUACCCUCAGUACGGUUGGUAAUCGUACGUAGAGCGCAUUAGUAAAAGGGUGCUUGACUGUGAGACAAACAAGUCGAGCAGGAGCGAAAGCUGGCUAAAGUGAUCCGGUGAUUCUGCAUGGAAGGGUCAUCGCUCAAAGGAUAAAAGGUACUCCGGGGAUAACAGGCUGAUCUUACCCAAGAGCUCAUAUCGACGGUAAGGUUUGGCACCUCGAUGUCGGUUCGUCACAUCCUGGGGCUGGAGAAGGUCCCAAGGGUUCGGCUGUUCGCCGAUUAAAGUGGCACGUGAACUGGGUUCAGAACGUCGCAAGACAGUUCGGUCCCUAUCUGUGGUGGGCGUUAGUAAAUUGAGUGGACAUGCUCUUAGUACGAGAGGACCGGAGCGUACGUACCGCUGGUGUAUCUGUUAUGCCGCCAGGUGUAAUGCAGAGUAGCUAUGUACGGCCAGGAUAAACGCUGAAAGCAUCUAAGCGUGAAACCUUCCACAAGAUGAGUUUACUUUUAAGGGUCGUCAAAGACUAUGACGUUGAUAGGCUAUAGAUGUAAGGCUAGUAAUAGCGAAGUCGAGUAGUACUAAUUGCCCGUAAGCUUUAUUUU
rnacentral:rRNA from 1 species